AACUGCCAGAUAGUGCUUUUGGCUUGCAGCCUGUAACAGAACAAGAGAAUGGAUUUGAUCAUCAGACAGCCAGGGACAGAGAGCCUUCCAUUGACAUCUCCUCUCUGCAUCUCAAUCAGACAACGAGUGGUCAUAAAACAUCUGAUGAAGAGGUAAAUGCUGAAGAGAUCCAUGAGGAAAACAUCCAGGAUU